CUAUUCUAAAGUAUAUUUUUUCCUACGUUCUUACAUUUUCCUCAAGGUUUUGGAAUUCACUCUGUGCCUUUUUGCUGCCUCUCAUCUUGGUGCUAGUGAUGGCGACAUGCUGGCUUUCGUCCCCCAACGCUUCUUGCAUGGCUCUCUCUGUGGCGUUUAUGGUCCGCAACGUUUUAGCUGUGAUGUCACAAAGAGCUUGAGCCGCAAUUCUCUGCAGAUGGAAGAAGUAACUGUCCAAUCAGAGCAGAGAGCCAAAAUGUACAAACUGGCAAUUCUGUGUUGGGGCUACCGUUACUUAAAUUAUAAAAAUGUUUCAAAUGUAAUU